rnacentral:SRP_RNA from 1 species
CUUGAGGUGGUAGACGAUUGUAACUGUCUGAACCCCGUCAGGACGGAAGUAGCAGCGGUAGGAAUGGUUACUUUGCGUUUAUUUAAUUUC